UCUGCCCAGUGUUAUAUAAUAAACGGCCGUUAAUACGCUAAGGUAGCAUAAUCAAUUGUUCCUUAAUUGGGGACUAGAAUGAAGGGAAGAAUACGGGUAAACUUUCUUUAGAUGAGUUAUAAAAAUUAAAAUUCUUAUGAAAAUGUAAGAAUAGUAAUUAAAGACCAAAAGACCCUAGUGAGCUUAAAUUUAUAGAAGGUUUCUUGGUAUAAAUUUUUAUUGGGGGGGUAAGGGAUAUACAUCCUUUUUGUUUAAUUAAACUUGUUAAACUAGAGUAAAGUUACCAUAGGGAUAACAGGCCUAAAUUUUUUAAGAGUUCACAUUAACAAAAAAUUUUGGCACCUCGAUGUUGGCUUAAGAUAAAGUCCAGGNUAGAGGUUU
rnacentral:rRNA from 1 species